rnacentral:rRNA from 1 species
GACGAACGCUGGCGGCGUGCUUAACACAUGCAAGUCGAACGGAAAGGCCCUGCUUUUGUGGGGUGCUCGAGUGGCGAACGGGUGAGUAACACGUGAGUAACCUGCCCUUGACUUUGGGAUAACUUCAGGAAACUGGGGCUAAUACCGGAUAGGAGCUCCUGCUGCAUGGUGGGGGUUGGAAAGUUUCGGCGGUUGGGGAUGGACUCGCGGCUUAUCAGCUUGUUGGUGGGGUAGUGGCCUACCAAGGCUUUGACGGGUAGCCGGCCUGAGAGGGUGACCGGCCACAUUGGGCCUGAGAUACGGCCCAGACUCCUACGGGAGGCAGCAGUGGGGAAUAUUGCACAAUGGGCGGAAGCCUGAUGCAGCAACGCCGCGUGCGGGGUGACGGCCUUCGGGUUGUAAACCGCUUUCGCCUGUGACGAAGCGUGAGUGACGGUAAUGGGUAAAGAAGCACCGGCUAACUACGUG